UCCCCGGUGGUCCAGUGGGUUAAGACUUCACCUUCCGAUGCAAAGAGUACAGGUUCGAUCCCUGUCAGGGGAC
rnacentral:tRNA from 1 species